GACGAACGCUGGCGGCGUGCUUAACACAUGCAAGUCGAGCGGGAUCCAACCGGUGGCAACACCGGGGAAGAUCUAGCGGCGAACGGGUGAGUAACACGUGAGCAACCUGCCCCGAAGACUGGGAUAACACCGGGAAACCGGUGCUAAUACCGGAUGUCGUCAUUAGGCCGCAUGACCUGAUGAUGAAAGGAUUCAUCGCUUCGGGAGGGCUCGCGGGCUAUCAGCUUGNGGUGGGUAACGGCCUAUCAAGGCGACGACGGCUAGCUGGUCUGAGAGGACGACCAGCCACACGUGGGACUGAGACACGGCCCAGACUCCUACGGGAGGCCAGCAGUGGGGAAUAUUGGACAAUGGGCGAAAGCCUGAUCCAGC
rnacentral:rRNA from 1 species